GCCCUCGUAGCUCAAUGGUAGAGCGCGUCACUAGUAAUCUUGAAGAUUAUGUAAUGACGAGGUUGCCGGUUCGAUUCCGUCCGAGGGCA
rfam:Glarea lozoyensis ATCC 20868 chromosome Tnknown GLAREA3, whole genome shotgun sequence.